AGAGUUUGAUCAUGGCUCAGAACGAACGCUGGCGGCGUGGAUAAGACAUGCAAGUCGGACGGGAUUUUCCGUUGUAGCAAUACAAUGGAAAGUCUAGUGGCGAACGGGUGCUUAACACGUGGGCAACCUGCCAGGAAGUGGGGGAUAGCUCGCCGAAAGGCGAAUUAAUACCGCAUGUGAUUAGAGAGGACAUCCUUUCGAAAUUAAAGUCGGGGCAACCUGACGCUUCUUGUGGGGCCCGCGGCCUAUCAGCUAGUUGGUGAGGUAACGGCUCACCAAGGCUUUGACGGGUAGCUGGUCUGAGAGGACGACCAGCCACACUGGGACUGAGACACGGCCCAGACACCUACGGGUGGCAGCAGUCGAGAAUUUUUGACAAUGGGGGAAACCCUGAUCGAGCGACGCCGCGUGGAGGAUGAAGGUCUUCGGAUUGUAAACUCCUGUCAUUGGGGAACAAGGUGCAUGCGUUAACUGCGUGUGCAUUGAUAGUACCCGAAGAGGAAGAGACGGCUAACUCUGUGCCAGCAGCCGCGGUAAUACAGAGGUCUCAAGCGUUGUUCGGAUUCAUUGGGCGUAAAGGGUGCGUAGGCGGCGCGGUAAGUCGGGUGUGAAAUCUCGGAGCUUAACUCCGAAACUGCAUUCGAUACUGCCGUGCUUGAGGACUGGAGAGGAGACUGGAAUUUACGGUGUAGCGGUGAAAUGCGUAGAUAUCGUAAGGAAGACCAGUGGCGAAGGCGGGUCUCUGGACAGUUCCUGACGCUGAGGCACGAAGGUCAGGGGAGCAAACGGGAUUAGAUACCCUAGUAGUCC
rnacentral:rRNA from 1 species